AGUGAACGCUGGCGGUAGGCCUAACACAUGCAAGUCGAACGGCAGCACAGUAAGAGCUUGCUCUUACGGGUGGCGAGUGGCGGACGGGUGAGGAAUACAUCGGAAUCUACUUUUUCGUGGGGGAUAACGUAGGGAAACUUACGCUAAUACCGCAUACGACCUACGGGUGAAAGCAGGGGAUCUUCGGACCUUGCGCGAUUGAAUGAGCCGAUGUCGGAUUAGCUGGUUGGCGGGGUAAAGGCCCACCAAGGCGACGAUCCGUAGUUGGUCUGAGAGGAUGAUCAGCCACACUGGAACUGAGACACGGUCCAGACUCCUACGGGAGGCAGCAGUGGGGAAUAUUGGACAAUGGGCGCAAGCCUGAUCCAGCCAUACCGCGUGGGUGAAGAAGGCCUUCGGGUUGUAAAGCCCUUUUGUUGGGAAAGAAAAGCAGCAGGUUAAUACCCCGCUGUUCUGACGGUACCCAAAGAAUAAGCACCGGCUAACUUCGUG
rnacentral:rRNA from 1 species